rnacentral:rRNA from 1 species
GACGAACGCUGGCGGCGUGCUUAACACAUGCAAGUCGAACGGAAAGGCCCUGCUUUUGUGGGGUGCUCGAGUGGCGAACGGGUGAGUAACGCGUGAGUAACCUGCCCUUGACUUUGGGAUAACUUCAGGAAGCUGGGGCUAAUACCGGAUAGGAGCUCCUGCUGCAUGGUGGGGGUUGGAAAGUUUCGGCGGUUGGGGAUGGACUCGCGGCUUAUCAGCUUGUUGGUGGGGUAGUGGCUUACCAAGGCUUUGACGGGUAGCCGGCCUGAGAGGGUGACCGGCCACAUUGGGACUGAGAUACGGCCCAGACUCCUACGGGAGGCAGCAGUGGGGAAUAUUGCACAAUGGGCGGAAGCCUGAUGCAGCAACGCCGCGUGCGGGAUGACGGCCUUCGGGUUGUAAACCGCUUUCGCCUGUGACGAAGCGUGAGUGACGGUAAUGGGUAAAGAAGCACCGGCUAACUACGUG